CCAAAUUUAUGGGCAACGUUAACAUGCUAAAGCAGAGGUCCUCAAACUGUGGUCUCUGGACCAGCGCUGGUCCACAAGCUCCAUGUAGGUGGUCCUCAGAAAGGUUGCAGAACAAUUGAGAAUCUCUGCAUUUGGCCCUGCAGUUGAUUACUUUUUUUUCCGGUGACGGAGAUUAAGCGGUCCGCUGAGACCCUCGGCAAUUUUCAAGCGGUCCGUGCAAAACAAAGUUUGAGAGCCGGUGCGCUAGAGGGUUGGGACCAAAUCUGUGGGCACCUGGGCAGGUUGGAAAAAUGGGCAGACCAGAAUAGGAUGCAGUUGAACAAAGACAAGUGCAAAGUGCUGCACCUAGGGAGAAGGAAUCACCGGCACGCUUACAGGCUGCGGGAGGGCUUUCUCAGCAUCAGAGCAGCUGAAAGGGAUCUCGGAGUCAGCGUUGAUACCGAGAUGAGCGUGAGUUGUCAACGUGACAAAGCGAUUGGUAAAGCUAACUGCACUUUAUCAUGUGUUCGCAGGUGCAGGACAAACAGGUCCAGGGAGGUGAUGCUUACCCUCUACGCGACAUUGGUCGAGCUGCAGUUGGAGUACUCUGUCCGGUUUUGGACGCCACACUUCAAGAGGGAUGUGGACAACCUUGUGAGGGUUCAGAGGAGGGCAAAAGCUAGUCCUUGCGCUCCUGUCCUUGGAACCAGCUUAUCGGCGAGGAAGCGCAGCGUGACAUUCGGAACCAAAAGGCCUGGAGUAGAAGGGCCCCCGACAUCCGUCGCAUCUGCAACGGGUCCCUGCGUGAGCUACUGAGAAACGAGCGUUUGGGGCCCGCACCGGUCUCUCGGAAACAUCCGAGCCAGCCCUGGCAGCAGGUGCCUGCGCGUUCCUGCCUCGUACGCGGUCAGGGAACGCUACGCACCAGCAGUUGCCUCGGCUUCUGACCGGACGCACGCCGUUUGCUCGCAAGCAUCCAAAGCUAGCACCUCCAGCGGCUGCAGCUGUUGCUUCCCAACUACUAGGAGAGCCUUGCAAAAGCAAUGGCCUGCCCCUGGGCCAGGCUGAUACCAGUGGCUCAGACCCAGAGACUUGCUAUUGUACCUCCCGGUGUCUGGAUUAGGUGUCGAGCACUUGGAACUCUGGCAGCUUCAGCACAUAUUAACCUCUCGUCCUCCUGUGGCCAACACCACAGAGCCCGUGACCCUAAUGUUUCUGUCAGCCUCUGUCCCACCCUUCCCCUGAAGGCCUCCCGUGAAAUCCCUUGUCCCAUCACAGUCUGCAGGUUGGCUCCAGCGGUAUUUCCCAGCUGCACGUGGAGAGUUGCAAGGGAGUGUCAGCGAGGAGCUGCAGCGUGAAAGAAGUGGGACUUGGAAAUAUCCAAGGGACCACGGGUAACAGUUUGACGGGCGUCACGUAGACUCGUUUUGCUGAAACUUUGGGAACGGGACCGAACCCAUUUUCCUGUGCGCUUGGACCUGCAGAUGGCUGGGGCCCGUGUCCCUGGGGAAACUCUGAGUCUGGAAGGGAGGAACACUGCUCAUCUCUCUCCCUGCCUGCCUGGGAACGCUCCUUGCCUUGUGUUUGUUAGACUCUGCCAUUUAGACCUAUUUUAACUUGUAACAGGGUCACAAAACCAAAUGCCAGUUGCUGCUCGUAGCUGCCGUUUCCCAUCGUUCCAGAAAGCAGCUACUCGCUCUUGGUCUUGUCUGGUAUUAAAGUCUUGAGAAACAGAAUUUUAUUCCACUUUUUUUGGCCGUUCCUUGGGAUGUAAGUGUAGGCUCACAGCCUAUUCCUUGUAUGCCAGCUUAAGCACGUGUCGUUCUUAAGUUAGGCUUCUGGUAGGUGUGUAGUCUGCAAUACUGAGCGUGGUCUGUCAGGCCCUGACCAUAUUUUCAGUUUACACCGAGGGGAAUCUGCCCACAGCCUUCCUUCCCCUUUCUCAUCACCAUCUUCGUAACAUCCCUGCCUCUUUACUUGUCGCUCAUUUCAGGAGCUGUUGUGUGCCAGUGCUUCUGUUCCCUGGUGCUUUCCCCGGGUACCCACCCUGUCUCCUGUACGUGGUGGAGGACCGGUUUAAGGAGUUGCACGGAGGGCCUCACAGAAGUCCUGUGUGGUCACGGGUUUACAAUGAAGACUUGCAGCUGUGUGUUACUAUUUCUGGGGUGUGCCGUGUGUGAGGUGCAGCUGUCAGAGGAACGCUUUGGAGAUGUCGCUCACGCAGGGAAGCAAAAUUGUUCUGCUCCCCACUACUGAGCUUUAAAGGGUGAUACCUGUGAGACAUCACAUCCCCUGUCCAAACCUGAGCCAUCUGAGCAGGGGAAGUGGCAUGGGAGCGGGGGCCAAGAUACCUGGUUGACAGCCCAGACUGCAAGUUGAAGGCUGCAAUGGAAGCGCUCAGAGUGUGGCCUGUCAGAUUCCAACAAAAUCUGUCAAGUCUUACAUGUAGCUUAUCACAAGGAAACGAAAAAGAAAAGGACAUGAGCAGGGGCCCAUGUUAGAGUCUUAGUGCAUUGGUCAGCGAUUGGGGGUGAGGGGGUGCAUGUCCCUCCUUCACUGCUUGUGUGUUGACUGUCAUUGUUAAAGGACCAGGGUUGGGGGCGGGGGCAUUCUUGGCUGCUUGGCCAAGUGCCUGGGGGAAGAGCUAGGAGGGAGGGGGAGGUUCAGCAACCCCGGACUGGCCAGGUCUCCCCCUGCCUCCCACAGGGCUGCGCUACCUGCUACUGGCAGUGACUCUGCCUGGAGCAGUUGGCAGGCCCUUGUAAGCAGCCUGCACUGCUUGGGAGAUGUGGGCUGUGACACCUUGGUUUUCUGGACUGUGGUAAGAAAGCAAACAGCCUUGUAGUACAGGCUUCAGUUGUGGGACUGCACCCUGUUGUUGAGACCCCCCCCAGGGGCUUAUUUCUUGUAUGUCCAUGCAGGAUAGUUGGAGGGGUGGGGAAUGGAAGGAAGAGGCAUGGAUGAGACCUGCAUCUUCUGUUCAGCAAAUUUCUGUAAGUAAUGUUAGUACUACUAAUAUUAUCCCUGUUCUGAUUCUUACUAUUACUAUUAUUUGUUUUCCCAUAUACUUUGCCAACAAAGCACCUGGCAGGUCCAGUAAGAAAAGGAAGUUUCCAAACAGGUGACAGAAGGAAACCAAAUGAUUUAAGUAUGCAAGUGGUGGUGGUGGUGUUGGGAAGGUUCAGGAACCAUGGGGGAGGCAAGAUUUUUUGUUAUGUCUUUUGUGGCAACAACAGCACGGUUUGGACGGACAGAAGCAAGGUUUUAGGCAUCCCAGUCCCCUUUUUCAGUCCUGGUUCCUUCCCAGCAUCCUGAGGAAAGGUACUGUCAUACCCCAAAGGUUGCCUGUAUCUUACAGUUGGUCUGGUAAAACAGGGGUCAAAAAACCUAUGGCCUGUGGUUUGGAUCCAGCCUGUGAAGAAACUGGUUCUAGCCUGUAGCAGUUCAACCAAGGAGCAGCACACUCCCAUGGUGACAGCAGCAGGGACAUCCCCAGCGGCCUGUUGCCACUGCGUUCAGUUUGUUCUUUGUGCUGCAGCAGAAGCAGCCUCCCCAGGGUCCCGGCCCCUGCCUCUUUCUUUUGAGUCCCUUCACAGCCUGUGGAGAUUGCCGGGGACCAAGCUGUCACGUUGGCAAUGGUGCACAACGGCAAAAGAACGGCCCUUCCCUGCAAGGAAAGAUUGCACCUAACUCCGAGCGAGCAGAGCAGAGCAUGGACACAGAGCGAGAUGCUCAUCAGUAGGGUAGUCUGGCCUUGCCGUUGCUAGGAGUGCCCAAGUAGGGAGGUGUUGGAAUAAUUUCUCAGCUUUUUCCCUAGAUCGCUCUAAGAGGAGAGGGGAGCGCUAAGCACACUUGGGUUCGUGCACGCUCCCCAUCGUUUUCAGAAGCGGACGGCAGGAGAAAGUUUGCGGUCAGCGAUAGCAGCACAAGGCCGCGCAACCAGGCUGGGGAACGUGGGGCUCUUUCCUAAACCAGGAGUGGCAGGACUUGCACAGCUUUGCCAGGAUCCUGGCUGUUGUGGAGAGACUUUGGGUUGGAGAUGGAUGCAAAGAAGUGGAGGCGUGCCAUGGUGAUGGAGGAUAGAGCAGGAGGAGUAGUGUGAUGGAAGGUGGACUUACCUCAAGCGGGGGUGGUGUUUUGAGUGGGGGUGUCUGGGUGGGUUGGGAAGUCCCUGCUCUGGGUUGGUGUCCUGAGCUGCACGCUCCCAGGGCAGGGCUACUCAAGCGGAGGGCCAUGGCACCCAGGAGUGCCUCUGAGAUGAGUGGUGUAUGGCUGGGCUGGCUUGGCCCAGAGUUGCUCUGAGUCUGUGCAAAGAUCUCCAGGUUGCGGUGGGACAGAGGAUUGGGUCUCUGCCUGGCUGUACCUGUUGCCACAUGCCUCCUUUCAGUGCUGGGAAUUGCAUUUAUGUCUCAUCUCUCUGGGUGUGUCACUGGUGUCUGUCUUUGUACUUCUGUUCUUAAAAAUCACUGCAGCACUUGUUACUUUGUUCUUCCCAGGACUGAAAGGAGGGUUGUGUUUGCAUGUAAAUUGAUCCCCUCACUUGGGAGGGGUGUAGCUGCAGCCCCCUGCGGUUUGUUAGUGGGGCCAGUCCAAGCUGCUGUUGUACCCCUGGUUGGGAGGGAGGGGAUGCUGUCCCGUUGGUGGUGUGAGACCUGCGCAUAGCGCUGCAAGUGUUAAUUUCUGUUGUUCAUUUUUGGCGGUGUGGACAUGUUUGGCAAGAUGACCAAAGUCUGGUCCUGAGUGGAGAAGAGCUGAGGAAGAGGUGAAGAGCCCUGGAGCUGGUAUGGCGUGGAAGGAGUUGGAGACGGCCCGAAGCCAUGCUCACGUGAUCACCUGGAGCGAGCAGGUGCCUGCAUCGUAUCUGGGAAAGGGAUAGCAAGCAUGAGGACUGAUGGCGCACAAGGACUGAAGGCGCAGCGUGAUGCCAGGUGUGGAGCCAUCUUCUGAAGGCUUGAGGGCUGUGGAGCAGACUCUGUGAAGAUGAAGUGAAGAGUCCCAGAGAUGGUGCAGGAGGAAACGGGCAGCCCUGUUGUGACUUCCUGAUUUGCGUGGUGUGAGGCCUCUUCCCCUGUGGCAUCACCUGGCUGGAGUCUGGGGAGGUUUUGUGUGUAGCUUUGCAGGCGGUGCGUCUCCGCUCCCACUUCUUGCUGUGAGGAUGCCUGGAUAAGCAGCAGCAUGAUUGUGGCUGGGUGGCCUCAAUGUCGUGGGGGAGAGGAACAGAAGCGAGGCUUCUGCGGUGGUGGUAGAAGAUGGAGGAACUGGAUCCCGAAAGGUGGGCUGGGUUAAAGUGGGAGGCUGGGUUGCGUUUUCCCUGGUCGUGUUUGGGUGGGGAAGGAAACGCCUUGUGCGUAAUGGGGUCUGGAGCUGCGUGCUGUCUGGGAAGUGAUGCUGAAGCAGGGACUUGUGGCCCUUAGGGAUGCUGCAGAGCAGGGGGUGUAAGCCUGAAUUGGGUUUAGUUUGGUGGUGAGACCUGACUCCUUGUAAAGGCUGGAAAUUGUCCUUGAGUAUAUUAGGGGUUUCAGUGUUUGCCCCUGGCUUCUGGGUGCAGGUGACAGCAUUGGAUGUGCUGGGACAGAGGAGCGGGUGCGUGCGUGUCCGCCUCUGCCUGGCUGUUGCUGCUGCCACUGGUCUUCCUUCAGUUCUGGGAAUUGCACUCUGUCCUAUGUCUCUGGGUGUGUCACUGGUGUUUCUUUCUACUUUGAUAUCUAAAAUCACAGCAGCACUUCUUCUUUCUUUCUUUGCUCUUCCCAGAGCUGGAAGGAUAGGUGUGUUUGCAACUGAAUUGAUCCCCUCAUUUGGGUGGGCUUUGACUGCACCCUGUGUGCCUCGCGUGCGAGUGGGGGUGUUAUGCUUUCGGUGUCCUAGGCUGCUGGGGGUGGGGGGCGUUGUCUCUGCUGUCAGUACUAUGAGAUGUGAAUACUGUUGCGUGUAGUAAUUGCUUGUUGUUUUGGGUGUGAUGUUAAUAUGUCGAGCGUGAGUGGAGAAGAGCUGAGGCGAAGAGACCUAGAGCCAGCGCUAGGUAGAAGCGGGUGGAGGAAGCAGGUGGUCGUGCAGCCAUGCUCGCUUCUGGGUCACCUGGAGGGAGGCCUCUGCCUGUUCGGUGGACCUGUGUGCAUGAGCAGAGCCUGUAGAGGUCCCUGCCUCCCCUGUGUGGAGAGGAUGGCAAGGAGGGAGGAGAGUGCGCCGGAGGAAGAGGAGCGCGAUGCCAGGUCCCAUGAGUGCUGUCUCUUGGGGGUCCUGACCUGUGCAGAGGGAAAUGACUGCCGGUUGAAGGAGUGAAGCUGAGCAGCGCCCACGGAGGGUGAAGCAGGAGGAACUCGAUGCCGCACGGCGUGUCGGUGCCGGAUGGGCAGUUCUGGCAAUUGCAGGUGCCUGUCUCCCGUAUGGGGAGAGGAUGGCAAGCAAGGAUGCUUGAGGGCUGGAGGAGAAGAGUGAUGCCAGGUGUGGCAAGUGCUGGCGGUCAGGGGAGUCCUCUUGCCAAGGCUUCAGGACUGUGAAGCAGAGACUGGAAGAAGAGGUGAAGAGCCCCAGAGAUGGCGGAGGAGAAAACGCACAGCUGUCUCCUGACGUCCCAAUUUGUGUGGCGUCAGGCCCCUGGCCCUGCGGUAUCACGCGGUUGGAACCUGCGGUGCGUCUGAGCUUCCUCGGAGCGGUUUCUGUUUUUCUCCAGCCCAGUCCUGGGUGUUGGGCAUUGACUAGGUAGGGUAGACGGCUGGAGAUCGAUCUGGAUGUUUCUGACUGGGUCCUGGUCCUUGGAGAGAAGUUUGAGCAGAGAAGGGUGGAAGAUGGAGGCAGAGAGGAUGGUGCAAGCAGGGGGUCUUUUUACCAAGACUUUUGGGGCAGGGAGGAGAAGUGGAGAUUGGGCAGAAGAAGAGAAGACAUCUUGAAGUCAUGAACCAUGGAGCUGCCUGUCAUUGGUGCAUGGAACAUGUGAUGGGUGCUUGUGCUGUAGCUCUGUUGUGAGGAGCAGGGCAGGGGCAGUGACAUGCUGAGGGCUGGAGAAGGAGCAACACAAAGAUGGCUGUGAGGCCUUGGUCAGGCGUGAAGUAUGUGAGCCAGGAGAGUCGUACAGCACACACGCAGGAUGGAGUCAUCUGGCUGAGGCUCGAGGCUCCUAAGUGGGCAUCGGGAAGAAGAGGUGGAGAUAUAGCGCCUGUGACCUGAGGAAGCUGGUGAAAGAAAUGGAUGUCGGCGCAUUCGCUUUGCGGUUGCCCGGCGUGAGACUUCUGCCCGUGUGGUGGCCCUGGGCUGGAAGCCUUGCUGCGUGAAGCCUGCGAUAGAUGUUGGAUUGCUGCUCCCUGUGUGGUGAGAAGGAUUGGCUGCAAUGACUGGAGGCCUGGAAAAGGAGCCGUGUGGCCAGGGUCCUGGCCUGCAUGGAGGGAAGUAGGUGAGAGGACUGCAUCGUGGAAGAGCCGUGGGACAGUGUUGGAUGACAGACACGGACCGGCCGGAUGUUGCUCGCUACGUUGGAAUGUCCCUUCUGUAUUGGGAUUGAGUCUCUCUAGUGUUUACACAGGUCAGCUGCUUUGGUUCAGCCGGUACCCCUGGACUGUAACCUUCACUCCUAUCAAUCAGGACGCUGAGUUUGGGUAAAACAACAUCGGCGAAAAACCGCCUCGGCCCAAGUCUGGGCAGGUCCGUACCAAGUUCUUCUUACUAUACACGCUGCUGUGAAAAUCGCCGAGAAAGAGGGCCGGAUUCAUCGCGGUCGCCUCAAACCUGGUAUCGGCAAGUAAUGACCGGUCAGCUGCUGUUCCGCCUUUAUGGCUAGAAAGAAUCGGAGAAUCGUGGACCGUUCAGACUCCUUAAUAGAAAUGAUACGUGUAUUAAGCUUGCUUUGUAUUAUCUUUCUUGUUAUACUUUGUGUUUGUAUUUCACUGUGGAUGCAGGGAAGGUUAUAAGUUAAUAAUGGCAUUUCACCGGGCUAUCCUAACAGGAUUAUUGCUCUUGAUGCAUAAAACACCAUGGCUAUUUAUGGGAAAGCGAUACAGAACAGGAAGACCAGUGGAAAGAUAAUACUUACCUGAUUUCCACUAUAGCUAUAGCACAGGUCCUAAAAUUUGUCUAAUGGUUGGAUAUGUGGUACACAGUCUCCUUCUACUAACUCUCCACCCUAUUCUUUAAUCUCUUGGGAAGGGAUUUUUUCUAAUCCAGAGUGGGUUGAUACGGAUAGAGCUGGAAUAAGUACCUGGGAGGACAAUCCUUAUUUUAAAGAGAGAGUACUUUCAGACAUCAUGUUAUCUGCCCAGGUGUGUUGGGAAAAUCCUCAUGGAAUAGGAAAAGAGAUUUUUAGGAUGGCAACCAGGUUGUAAACUAACCAUUAAUGCCACACACUUAAUUUGGCCUAACAAUACUGCAGUGGGGACUAAAGAAGCUGAAAAGAAAGGUUACAUCCCCUGGAAUGUGUCUGCUCCCUGCAGUUCCUUGCAGCGUCCUUAUGUAUGGCAAUGUAUGGAAGGUUCCAUCCGAUGCUCCGCCCCUAAUAAAACUUGGGCUUGGAGUCACGGCUGUUUCACGUCUUGCAUAUACAGCUCCUUUGCAAAGCCAAGUUGUUGGUAUGUUAACUAUACCAUUUACAGAGACGGUUCAGUACCUUGCCCCAGAGAUCCUCAUACUACCGCAUCAAUCAACUAGCACAUGCGUUAGAACUUAUUGCCAAUAGCACAGCAGAGGGCAUUGAAUUAGUGCAAGACCAGGCUUCUUGCAACCAUGCUAUGACUUAAGAAAAUCGCUUCGCUUUAGACUAUUUGUUAGCUAGAGAAGGAGGGGUAUGUGCUUUAAUCACAGGAGGACCCUGCUGCACCUAUAUUCCUGACCACUCUGACAACAUAACUGCUGGAGUAAAAACAAUUCGAGACACAGCACGACUUCUUUGCGAAGUUGGUCAGUAAUAGAACGGAUUGCCUCAACUUUAGGAAUGUGGGGAAGGUAUAUCUUAGAAUACAUUUUACGGGGAUUAGGAAUCUUGGUUAUUAUUGUAAUAAUUGCUGUAAUUACAGCCUGUGUAGUUUGAGUUAAGCAAAAAGUAAUUAAUCUCAAUAUUAUGCAAACCUGGGAAAUGGCCAGCAGGCCAUAGGCCUGUGGCUGUAAGGGGGGAUUGUUAGAAACUAUUGUUGGAAAAUCAGCGUGACCUUUGUAUCACCUUUGGGCAAUGCUAGCUGAUGCAACCUUGCAGUAAGAUUGCCAUGAUCUGUCAAUAUAGGCGGGCAAACAAGGUGAUUGGGCCUAACCAUGCGGGGUGAGCAAAGCCAAGCCAUCUUCUUGAUUUCCUCUGAGUUUUGCACAUGUGUUAUGAAGGAGCUUAUGUAACGAGAGUUUAUAAAGCUACAUGUUGAGUUGCAGUUGGGGUCUCUGUUCCCUUAUGCGGACAGGGGACCUUUGGCCCAAUAAACUGAAAAGACCACACCCUUGUCUGCUGCUUAUUGGAGUCUCAGCUGGGAAACGAGCCCUGUUUGGGUUAAGAGAGUCUGCAGGUGUUCCCUUACCAGCUUGGGAGUCUGGUCAGACAAUUUCUCUCACAAUUAAUUUGUAGCUUUUAGAAAGUGCUAGUUCAGCUUAAUAGAAAUAUGCUGUUAUGAAGAUUCGUAAAGCACCGCCCAAGUAUUGCUUUUGGUUAACCCUUGUAGUGCGCAAGUUUGUUAUUACCCUGAAAUAGAAUAGUUUUCUGAUAGCAUACUGUUAGGUUAACAAUAAUUUGGAUUAUUAAGAAGUAUUAGCUUUACAGCUGAAUACAAGGCAUGACCUGUGGCCUAGCAAUGCAGCUGACCACAAGGCAGAAUGAUAGCUAGGCCUUUGCUUAUGUCAAGUAAUCAUUUUAACUACACCAAGCAUUUUCUGAGUUAAAAAGUGAAUCUGUGUCUGUGUGCUAAAAAAAAUCAGCUACAGCAAAAAGUAAGAUAAAACAGAGAAACCAUUGUUUGAGCUUACUGGUUGUGUCCUUGAAAAAUAUCUUCUACUGUAUAAGGUUUUGCUAACAUAAUGUUACUGUUACCUAACUUUUAGCUUUAAAAAGUGCUAGUUCAGCUUAAUAAAAAUAUGCUGUUACAAAGAUUUAUAGAACACCGCCCCAAGUAUUGCUUUUUGUUAACCAUAUAGUUUUGCUUUGUUGUAAAAAAUAUAAAAGAUCGCCUCACCCUUGAGGGGGGGCCUUUUUGCCUUUUGCUGGCUUUAUGGUCUUUGCUCGAGCAAAUAAACAGCUGUCUUUCUUUACCCGCGUUGUCUGUCAAUCAAAUUACAGCUAGACAACGGACCUUAGGGAGAUUUCUCCCACCACACCCUGUAGUCUUGCCUUAUUGUAAAAAGUCUAAAAGAACACCCCACCCUUGAGUGGGGGGCAUUUUGGCUUUUUGCUGGCUUAUGGUCAUUGCUCGAGCAAAUAAACGGCAGUAAAUCUUUACCUGCGUUGCUUGGUUUCUAUUGCAGCUAGACAACAAACUCCUCCUGGGAGUUUUCUCCCACCACAGCAGGAAGGAGGAUGUUGAAGGUUUCUGAGCCAUAAGCUCGAGCCCUCUCUUUGGAAGGGGUGUUAGAAAAUAUUGUUAGAAAAUUAAUGUGACCUGUGUAUGACCUUGGAUCAAUGCUGGCUGAUGCAACCUUGCACUGAGAUUGCUGCUGAUAUGUCAAUCUUGGCGGACAAGCAAGGUGAUUGGGCCCAACCAUGCAGGGUGAGCAAAGUCAUGCCAUUUUAGCAAUUUUCUGCUGGGUUUUGCACAUGUGUUAUGGGAAAGGCUUAUGUAAUGAAAGUUUAUAAAUAUGUGUUGAGUUGGAGUCGGGGUCUCUCUGCCCUUACGAGGACAGGGGACCUUCAGCCAAAUAAACUGAAAAGACCACACCCUCGUCUCCUGCUUAUUGGAGUCUCAGCUGGGAUAGGAGCCCCGUUAGGGUUAAGAGAGUGUUCCCUUACGAGAUUGGGAGCCUGGCCAGACAAUUUCUCUGAUGGGGAAAGCAGAGCCGUCUGUUACUCAGCUUUGUUUUGUUGUUGCCCAUAGUGGAGGUAUUGCAAAAAUGUAUCAUCUCACUACACCAAAGGCUUCUCAGCUGAAAACUGUAAACUGGAAAUUGUUUCUUCUUCUCUGUCCCACAUCACUGCGGGGCCAGGAGGCGGGGGGUCGUGUUAGGGGGAGAGAACAGUCUGAACAAUGCUUGCUUCACGAUAAGGCUGACUCCUGUGGGAACACAGAUUAGUUACUGCCUGCUUUGCACAUAAACUUUGCAGAAAACUGUAGCAAAUGACAGAUUGCCACAAUGGAAUCUUGUUUAGGAGAGGUAUAAAAAUGUAUUUUCGGGCAUGGCUAGGGGUCAACAUGACUUUGAGGUUUGAGCUCCGUUGUUGAUCUGUUUGCAAACAAACAUAGUUGAAAUGGAUCCAGCCUAAGUGUGUAUAACUCUCCCUUGAGGUAUAUGGAAAAAGCCUCCAGAAACACGAAACUAGCCGUUUGUGCAACAGAGGCACAACUGGGAAGCACCCCCCUCCCUCUGUCAGCUUAACCACCUUCUUGUCCCUCCAAGGCCCCUGCCUUGUAGUGCCUCUUGGGCCUGCGUGGUGUUGCUGGUCGUUGUGUUUGGGUGUGAGGGGGGUGCAGCCAAGGUGAUGGCUCCUGUGGAGAAGGGGAGUAGAAGCAGAAGUAGUUACGAAGAGCCUGGGUGCUGGGCUGAUGUCGUGGGAGAAAACUCCCUGGUGUUCGUUGUCUAGCUGGCUUAGAGACUAGACAACACGGGUGAAGGGGUAACUGCAGUUUAUCUGCUGUUUUAUGGUCUUUACUUGAGUAAAGAGGUAAAAUGGCCUUGACUUAAGGGUGAGGCUGUCUUAUAUACUUUUUGUAACAAAGCAACUACAAGGUUAUUGAAUAUGUAAUACUUAUGGUAAUCAUCUCCUUACAUGGUGCAUUACAAAUCUCAGUACUUUUGCAGAGGAAAAAAGUUAGUGUUAUCUUACACACUGCAAUCUGUUAUCCUGUACUCCGCUGUACCAUCUUCUUGCCUCUGGGCCUCCCCCUUAUCUUAUCUGACUCCUAGCUGCAGCUGGUACCCAGUACACAGACUUAACCAUUUUGUUAGGAAAAAGCAGAAAUUAAGGCACUUGACAUAAGAAAAUGACUGGCUUAGAGAUCAUUCUGUCUUGUGGUCAGCAAGAUUGCUAGGCCACAGGUCAUGCCUAGUGUUUAGCUACAAAGCUAAUACUAUUUAAUAAUCUAAAUUACCCUGAAAUAAAAUAGUUUUCUGUAGUAUACUGUUAAGAAUAAAGAGAAACCCAUCACUCUGAGUGUGAGGUGGAAGAGGUGCCAGGAGGAUGUGUGUGCUCGGUGGGGUGACAGGGGUGCGAAGCUGCCUGCCUGGGGGUGGUGGGAUCGUGCUGUGCUCCGUUGGUUGUUUGCUUUGUUUGGUGAUGUUUGUGUGUGUCCUUGUGUUGUUUGUGUUCUGCCUGUUUGUUGUGAGGUUGGCAAUGUUUUCUUCCUGGUGGUUUGUUUUGUACAUGGCUGUUUGCUCACCUCCUAUCUGUUGAGCUUUUUGUAUGUAACAUGUAGAGGAACUUGUGGGCCAGCCUGGAAAAAUAAAAUAAAGGAGAAAUGGUUCUGGUA